UACUAUGUGCCACGCUGUUACAAGGCGAUGGUCUGCUAAUCUAUUGGGCCCUGCCUGCGUGGGUUCGAAUCCCAUUUUCGUAU